AUAGCGUGCGGCGUUACUGAUGUCUGCGUACAGCGCGUAUGAAUCCUGUUUGGUGUUCGUGUCGCUCGUAGCAGCAUGGAGAAAGAUUUAGUUCGGCAGAGUCUGAGCCAGAAUGGGCCUUCCCUGUUGUCCCUUCUGAGGAGCGAGCAGCACGAGCAUGCGGGGUUUAAGCAGCUGUUGGAGGAGGUCUCCAAGUGGCCCCAGUACAGAAAGGAACGGAAUGUGGAAAACCCUGAGAUACAGCAAUUCAUUGCCAGGAAGGCUGACCUCCUUUUUGCCACUUCAUGGAAAUCGAAUUCACAGGAGAGAUCAGAAAUGCAGGAGGAGGUACAAGGUUAUGUUGUAAUGCCACCCUUGGAACAAUUUAUGGAGGUUCCCAAUGCACAGAAGAGAGAACUGUUCUUUCGAGAUGUUGAGCGUGGCGAUAUUGUCAUUGGAAAAAUUACCAGUAUCCGUGACUUUGGAUUUUUCUUGGAGCUGUUGUGCAUGGGCAGUGGAAUUUUAAGAGAUAUAAAAGAUCUAAAAAUAAAUGCUUUAUGUCCUGUAAGAGAUGUGCCUCCACAAAGUAGCCACGGAAAUCCCUUGUCAUAUUAUCAAACUGGAGACUUGAUCCAAGCUGCUGUAAAGGACAUUGAUCGUUUCCAUGAAAAACUCACUCUAUCUUUGCAUAAAUCUGCACUUCCAACACAUCAGUCUUUUGUUAAACUGGGAGUAAUAAGCACUGAAGAUAUGCCUGAAUAUUAUCGGCAAAGUCUUGCUCUCUCUGAUCAUGUGAACACCUAUGAAAAGUCUGUGCAGCAGUCAUUGGCAUUCUCUAACCCUUCAUCUGUUGAGAUUCUAUUGAGUAAACUUGGAAUUGAUGAAUCCAAUCCACCGUCCUUAAUCAGAGGCCUUCAGAGAGAAAACUUUAGUGAUCAAGACUAUGCUCCGUACCUAAGGAAGAAACAGUCCUCUUCUUGGGCCUUAAAGUGUGUGAAGCAAGGUGUGGAUUAUUUUAAAGUGGGACGUCACAUUGACGCUAUGAAUGAAUACAACAAAGCUUUGGAAAUAGAUGACAAAAAUGUGGAAGCUUUGGUAGCACGAGGGGCACUAUAUGCAACAAAGGGAAGCCUAAACAAAGCUAUCAGUGAUUUUGAGAUUGCCUUGGAAAGCUGUCCAAACCAUCGCAAUGCAAGAAAGUACCUGUGUCAGACCCUCGUGGAAAGAGGCGGCCAGCUGGAAGAGGAAGACAAACUGUUGAAUGCAGAAAGUCAUUACAACAAAGCUUUAACAGUAGACAAGACCUUUACAGAAGCUGAAGAGGCAUUGAGCAAAGUGCACCAGAGAAUGCAGGUGAUUCUUUAUUUUCUCUUAACCUGUCAUUGACCAAAGUAGAUACAAUUUGUACUUUUGUGUACUAGUCAGUAUGUGAUGCAAAGUGUUUCAAUACUAAAGAAAGUACUGUGUCUCAGAGGGUUGUGUCAAUGAUCAGGCAAAUAAUGUGGUGAAAUAUGUAAGAUGUGGGCAAAACAUUCUCACAACAAAGGUACAUGAUGAAUAGCAAGCUACAUAUAAACCCUUAGAAAUAAAACACACCAAGUGCAACAUACUAUGCUAUAAAAUCCAAAGCAGGAGCUUAGCAAGUAAUAUUCAGUCAAUAAAGAGAAGCUAGGCAAGUCCUGCUAAUAAAUAAAUCAUUGAUUUGAGCAUGUACCUGUAUAUGUAGAAAUCAGAUUUGCAGGCUUCUCAGCCUAAGGACAGUGGCCAACAGGGAGAUUUGCGCGGCUGCAGGCGACAAAUCUCCAUUGGAAAUAACUGAAAUCGCCCUCAGUUAAACCAACAUAUCACAAAGUUGCUUCUGGAGGAAACUUUGGGCGACUGAGAAGCAUUUUCGGGAGAUUUGACGCUCGCAAUUGCGCAUAAAUAAUCGUGGGCAACAAAUCUCCCCGUCCGCCACUGCCCUUAAAGUGAUCUUAACACUAAAAACAAAUUUUUGAACUCCACGGUCAUCUUUCAUCUGAUCGUCUUGCAGCGAAAAAAACGCAGGAGACAAGUCGGGCGUACUUGCAGGCGUCAAAAUAUAAUGGGACUGAACGGAAAUUCGCAGAUAAAAACCACACUUUAAGACUGUUGGAUGAAGACACAGCUUUCUGCUUUCACAUCUGACAGUUGUGUCGGAUGCAAUGUCGUUUUUACCUGCGACUUUUCAUUCAGUCCCAUUAUAUUUUGACGCCUGCGAGUACAUCUGACUUGUCUCCUGUGUUUUGUCUAUUGGACAAAAGACGCCCGUGUAGUUCAGCCCUAAAAGUUGCCUAUAGGUCAUGCUAAUCAGUUUUUGUUACUUGAAGUUCUUAAACCUGACUGUUUGCCAGUCUGACUGUCCCCUUAAUGGAUUACUGCUGCACAAAUAUGGCAGCCCCCUCAUACAGGAACAUAGGGGUAGGUAAUGUUUUAAAAGCACUGGGCCAAUGCUUUUAAGGCAAAAUUAUACAUAGAAUGCGAAAACAAUGUUAUGAUAAAUUGAGAAAAAAUUCUGGUGUCAGUAUCUCUUUAAUCUGAGUUCAUAAGUAGAUAUGGUAAUUUAAAUCCUUAACAUUUUUAUAUUGAAGUCUCUAUUAGCUGCAUAAAUGUUUUUAUAUUUUUAUAUUGAAUUUCUAGACCCUAUUCAUGAGUGCAUGAGCACAAAUCCGUUUUUCAGAGCUAAUGUAAGGGGUUGUAAGGGCUCAUUUAUCAAGCCAGGGUUACUUUGCACUGUAAGUUGUGCCCCUAAGGAGUAGAGCUUCUAUUAUGGAGCUGCUGUUUUUCUCUGAAUAUGAGAUGCUGUUGUGUGUUUGUGGAACAGUUGGUGCACAGCAUGUAAGUGUUCCCUGGAACACCCUUAGGCUUUUGUGUACUGAACUCCUCUUUCCUUCUGAUUUGCGGUGCUUAAUUUUGCAGGAUUUUUAAUCCAGUGUAAUGUGCAGAGUGCAGCCACUAACAGGCCAUAAACUCUCGAACAGGGGCUUAUAGUUUAUAAAUGACCCCUACAAGUUGCUAGAUGCUGUUCAGGAAAAUAUAGGACAAUCUUUUAUCUAGAAAUGUGUGAGCAGUAAUGUGAUUUAAUGCAUAACAUGUUUGUGUUUUCUUUCCUGUAAUACUGAUGUGUUUUUUUAUGUGUUUUUCUUCCUGCUUUAAACUGUUGGUGCUUUGGCCUGUGGAUAUCUAUUUUUGCCGUGAUUCUGAAACUGCCAUCUGUAAUGGAACCGGGUCUAUUUAAUUGAAAUCUCUGGAAAAAAGAGAGGAACAAGAUGAGAAGGAAGAAAUGUCCAAAGAAAAGAAAAUAGAAACCAGUGCAGAAAAGUUGCGUAAACUCCUAAAAGAAGACAAAAGGAAGAAGAAACGCAAAGUGAGAUCUUCAUCCUCCUCCUCAAGUGGUUCUUCAGAUAGUUCUUCAUCUUCUGACAGUCAUAAGAAACA